UUAGAUGGUGUCUCACUCUGUAACCCAAGCUGGAGUGCAGUGGCGCGAUCUCAACUCACUGCACCCUCUGUCUGCCAGGCUCAAGCAAUUCUCAUGCCUCAGCCUCUCGAGUAGCUGAAACUAAAGGCACACGCCAUCACACCCAGCCUGCACCUGUGGUCUCACGGAGUUCCCUAUGAUCACUUGACAGAAGAAGAGAAGACUAAGGGCCUGGUUAACAGAUGUUCUGCAUAAUACUCAGGCAUCACCCUAAAGGGGACAGCUGCAGCAAAAAUAGAACAAAAAGGCUUAGAAAGGGCACAUUUGCUCAUUGAGCUGGGAUAUGUAUUGUCUCCUGCGCUUGGACAUCAACACUCCUGGUUCGCAGGCCUUUGGACUUUGACGAGGAUUUCCAUCAUGACUUCUGGUUCUCAGGCCUUUUGACUCAGACGUCUUAUGCCAUUGGCUUUCCUGCUUCUCCAGCUGGCAGAUCCUGGGACUUCUUGGCCUCUAUAAUCACAUGAGCAAAUUCCCAUAAUAAAC
rnacentral:lncRNA from 1 species